rnacentral:lncRNA from 1 species
CAGCGUUUAGAGGUUCCCAGGCUAGGGGCUAUAUUGGAGCAAUGGCUGCCAGCUUUGCCACAGGCACAGCCACAGCAACACCAGAUAUGAGCUACACCUGUGAUCUACACCACAGCUCACAAGAAUUCUGGAUCCUUAACCCACUAAGCAAGGACAGGGAUCAAACCCGCAUCUUCAUGGGUACUAGUCAGGUUCAUUACCACUGAGCCACAACUGGAACUCCCAGAUUAGCUAAUUUUAAAAAGAAUCUGUCAAUAAUUCAUUUGUUAUCACAAAUAAAGAGUAAAAGUUGGCUCACAAGAGGGCUGAGAGUUAUUGUUGUGUGUUGGAUGAGAGGGAGAGUCAGUGGUAUUUGAAUAUCUACAACAUCAGUGGUCUGAAGAUUCCUGAAAGAGAUUUAAAAAUAGUGGUAAAAUUUAUAUUUGACAGAAUAGCAUCUAUGCCAUUUAGAAAGUCUUUUUUCUGUCCUUCUAUAAUGGGAGAUGGUUCUCCUUGUUGGUUGAACAGAAUCAUUGGAAAUCAGGUACUACAAUCUCCCUUGGAGUCCCUUUCUAACUUUCAGUGAUGGCUAAUUCUUUUCUGUUUUUUACUAAUGUCCAAAAAUUCAUUAUCCAAUAUUCCCUUUGUUUACAAAACCAGCAGAGGUCCUGUUAAACAGGGAGUUGUUACUGUUUUUUAAGGGUGUGGCAUCUCCAUACAGCUGCUUAUUUUAAAAUCUAUAAAAUUUUUAGUUUGAGGGUUAUUUUUCCCCUAUCUAAAUAUUUUUCAGUGCCUCUGCCAAAGCAGCAAUCUGCCAUCCAAUCUUUUCGUUACAUACCAGAUCAGCAAUUUCUGGGUUUAGGUUGUCUAUAAAAAUGUUGGAGAAGUAGGGGACAUGUUGGGGAAGUAGUCUCAAGCAAAAUCAACUGUAGCAGGAGGGGACACACCCCAGAGAAACCUUAAUCCUAAACAUUAUCUAAAGGCACUAAUUAAUUUAUCUCUGAACUCUCCUAUAGAUUCACUAUUUUGUUGUUUUUGAGAUGGAAGAAAAGAUCCAAUUCACUUUAGCAAGCCCUGAAAUAUAGUUCCUAAAGUCGAUUUGGUGAGGGAUGCGCAUGAAUUGGCAAAACAGAACUCAUAGUUAUUCUAAUGCACACAGAGAUAAGAUUGAGGAAAGAUUCUUAUAAGAUUUUGAAACGAUGACCCAAAGGUGAGUUUGUUUGAAGUAUACUAGUUUUAUGACAUCUCCUGAACUCGGUGCUUGUUCUAGACUGAGACAUAUUGGCCUCAUGUUUGUCCUCUCAGUGCUGACUUUCUUUUAUAAACAAAUAAAACUCAAGAAACUGUACAAGUAGGUAGACAGUAGAAUAAAUUUUAAAAUAUUUUACAAGGUAAAAAAUAUAAUCUGAUCAGAAUUCAGAAAUCCAACAUAAAUACAAAGUUAUGGGGUUGAAUGAAAUAUUCAGAGAUCAUACUCGGUACGAACUUAUGUCCCAGACAAGUGAUUCUAAGGAGUGUCAGAUGUGCACACUAUUACUGAGUUGGAUGUCCCAGUCUGUAGGGGCAGGCAUCUUAGGUGAAAGUUGGUGAUACUUCCAGUUUUGUUGAAGCCCAAAAGCCAAAGACUACCAGGAACACACUUAUACUCAAACAAAACCAGCUGUAUUAGGAGGGGAGACAUCCCAGAGAAGACACUCUAGGAGCCUCUCAGAGUGUGCAGGGAAUGGUCUCAUUGGUUGGGACUAUGCUAUAAUAUCAUGUUCUGAAUAUUGUUCAGGUUCUGUUGGAAAUAUUAUUAUCUAAUUUUCAGCAAGGAUAGUAGUUGUCAUGUUCUCUGAUUGUUGGAAGGGUGAAUUUUUUCAAAUUCUCACACUAUUGCAAUCCUUUGAAGUAUGCUAUGGAACUAUAUUACAGGUGAUGGCAAUGCUUUGUGCAGCACACAUUUUCAUUAACAUAAGCUCUAUAUGUAGUAUUUGGUAGGCAUUCAUAUAACACCAAAAUUUCCUAUUACUUUUUAACGCCUUUAUCUAUUCUUACCAUAUUCCAGUCACUGCUCUAAUCUUUAAACAUAUAAUAGUAUUUAAAACAAACAAAUGAAAAUUCUUGCUGUCCUAUUAGGGUCUCUAUUCCCAUGUUCCAAUAGAAGAGAUAGAAAACAAGCAAUUAAUAACUAAGUAUAAUGAUGAGUGUCGAGGCAAAUAAAGAAGGGUAAGGUGAUAGAGGGCUACUGAGUGAGAUUUGGUAGAAGUGUGUUUUUUUAGAGAAUCAUCAGGAUGGCUUCUCUGGAGUGAUGACUGUGAGCAAAGAUCUGAGUGAAGGAAAGGAGUGAACCUUUUGAAGAUCUAAGGGAAUAAAUAGUGUUGCAAGCAGAGAGAACAAGAUAGAGGCCAAUAUGGCUAGAGCAGAAUAAGAUGGAGAGUGUUAUGAGAUGAGGUCAGGGAGAUAAGCAGUAACUAGAUCACAUGGGGUCUUGUAGAUUGUGAUAAAGGGUUUGGAUUUCCUUUUCAGUCAUGAGAGAUUAGCAAAGGUCAUGGGAGUUUCUGAGCAGGAGGUUGACAGAAUCUGAUUUUUUAAAAUAGAUUAUUCUGGUUGCUGUGUAUAAAACUGGCAAUGGGAGUAUGAGUGAAAGCAAGGGAUAGAAAGCUGCUGUGACAAUCAACAUGAGAGAUGACAAUGACUUCACCAAGAUGAUAGAGUUCUCAGAUAUAUGCCUGUUGUCAGGGUCUGACUUGAAGCUAGAGUCAAAAGGAUUUGCUGAUGGAUGGAUUAGAUAUAGUGAUUUUAGACAAGAUUAAAGACUGCUCUCUGAGUUGGGGGAAAAAAAAAAAACUGAGUGAAUAGUGGAGCUAUUUCAGAAUAGGGGAAACUGGAAGAGAAUGGAGGCAUUGGGAGAAAAACCACAAGUUCUAUUUUGGGAGUGCAAUGCUCAGCAUGAUUCUUGGACAUUUGCAUGUCACAGUCAAAUAGGCUCAAGGGAGAGAGAGGAACUGGGGAUAUGCUGGGAGCCAUCAGUAUGUAGAUAGGAAAUAAAACUGCCAAGAGAGGAAAUCACUUGGUGAUAAGUGUAAACAGAGGUAAAAAGGGGGCUGAGUUCUGGGACAUUCCAAAAUAUAGAAUCUAGGAAGAGGAAAACAUUCUAGCAAAAGACACCAAAUGGAGCAGAUUGUGAAGUAAAGAAUAGUCCAGGGUAGAGGAUUUCCUGAAAGCAAACCAAAGACAGUGGUUCUGACCAAAAUAGUGAUCAAAUGAAGCACUCCAUUGCGCUUCUCUGAGCUGUUGUGUAGGGCACCUAGUAGAAGCUUUCAACGUAUAUCUCUUGGUGCGCAAGCAAAAGAAUUCAGAUUAUAUUAUGACUGAAAUAUAUAUAUAUAUAUAUCUACACUUUCUAAUAAAUUCCAUUUUAAUUCGAUGACACAAAAAUUAAAAUAUUUUGUACUUUCAUAGUAUUAGAGAGGUGGUCAGUUAAAUGAGGGAAUGAGGCUUCAAAAUUAGGGAAGAAUCCUAAAAAUCUGCUUGAAUCUCUUGCAUAUCCUCCUUAUUCCGCCAAAUACUAUCUCUAGCAUGCUAGGUGAAUCAAUUUAAGUAACUGAAAUCAAAGAAUACACAGUACUAACAAAUUUUUAAAUUAUUAUUUAUAAGUUUCUGGGACCCUUUAUUAAAAUAACAUUCUUAUUUAGGUUAAUUUCAACAUUUUUUCCCUUAGCUGUUAUCUAUUAGUUCAAUCUCUGGCCCCACUCACUGGGUUAAGGAUCCAGCAUUGCCAUGAGCUGUGGUGUAGUUCACAGACAUGGCUUGGAUCUGACAUUGCUAUGGCUAUGGCAUAGACUGGCAGCUGUAACUCCGAUUCAGCCCCUAGUCUGGGAACUUCCAUAUGCUGCAGGUGUGGCAAAAAGUCUUUACCAAAAAAAAAAAAAAAAGUCCCUACCAAAAUAGCAUCCCAUCUCCUUUUUUUUAGUAAUACUAGUAGAGGUAGUUAUUGCUUUUAUUUUCUGGUUUAAUAUACAUCACUCUUUGUAUCUUUUUGAGCUUCCAGCAGUAAAACUUAAGUGUAUGUUCUACUUCAAGCUGGGAUUACUGGAUAGUCACAUUCGUCCUCAUGGUAGACUUGUGCCAUUAGCUUUAUAUAUGUUAUCUUUGUAAUUUCCAAAACUGGAAUCGCUUAGUUUUCACCUUUACAUAAAUAGGAAAUAUAGCAUAGUAGUUAGAAAUCUGUUUUUUGGACUAGUUUAAAAUCCUGGACCUAAUACUUAACUGUAUAAUUUCGGACAAGUCAAUUACAUUUCUGUACAGCAUUAUUUCUUUAUCCUUAAAAUAAAGAUAAGGAGAUAAAUAUUUGGCACCCAUUAUAUCGAAGAAAAUAUGUGUUUUUAAAUAAGUUUUGUAUGUGUUUGUCCUAUAAACAUGACUACACUAACUGGACUGCUUCUGCAUUCCCUUGCACUCAAGUCCCUGCUUUGAUAGGGCAAGUGGUUCUCUUUUGUACUUGCCAGUCCUUAAAGCCCUCUUGUUGGAUCCUGUUGAUGUCCCAUUACCCUUUAUUUAUUUAUUUAUUUAUUUAUUUUUUUGUCUUUUGUCUUUUGUUGUUGUUGUUGCUAUUUCUUGGGCCGCUCCCGCAGCAUAUGGAGGUUCCCAGGCUAGGGGUCGAAUCGGAGCUGUAGCCACCGGCCUACGCCAGAGCCACAGCAACGCGGGAUCCGAGCGAGCCGCGUCUGCAACCUACACCACAGCUCACGGCAACGCCGGAUCGUUAACCCCCUGAGCAAGGGCAGGGACCGAACCCGCAACCUCAUGGUUCCUAGUCGGAUUCGUUAACCACUGCGCCACGACGGGAACUCCCCAUUAAACUUUAUCAUAAUUUAUCCACAUGGACAACUACUAGGCUGUGCCCUGUGCCUAUCUGCCUUAACACUAGCAAUUAUAUCAAUAGAGAUGAUAUAUCAAUAAUUGACAUAUACCAUUCUUGAGAGGAAAUUUUAUCAUCUUAUCAUUUAAUCUUCAUAAAUCAGGAAUUAGAACUAUUUUUAUUUUCUUUAUUACCCAUAAAGAAAAUAAGACUUGAGGAGGCUAAUUCAGUUCCUGCAAGUCAUUACUAGCAAGUGAUAAACCAGUUUUUAAACCAAUGGCUGUGUGACUACCAAAUCUAAAGUCGUUUACAUUGCCUCCAUAGAGCUGCACUGGCUUGAACCAUAAACUUCUAUGUUAAUAGAUUCCUGCUACUCAGGAAUCUAUAGGAAUCUCAUGUUGAUACAUUUGCUGUUUUGCUGCUUUGAGAAUCAUUACCACGUUCUUCAGAUAUCUCACACUAAAAAUGUAACUUUUUUUUUUUUUAUCCAGGCCGUGAUCCUUUCAUGUCUCACCUGAUCCUCCUUUUUAUGAGGUACCAUUCUCUUGCCUUAUUUGAAUAGGUCUGAGUACUACGUAAUUGGCUAUAUGAUCAAGCAGAAGAGAGCCACUGAUUUGAUCUCAGAAAGUAUUGUGAUAUUGUGUACCACUCAUUUACAGUCCAAAAAUAGAACCAGAGACUUGAAACCUAUGAAGUUUGUGUGGCAAGCAGUUUGUCACCAUUGAAUGUGGGCUUAUUUCCACCGUUCAUAUUUUUCUUCUGUGUCUCUAUUAACAUAAGCUGAGAGAUGCUUUUUCUAACAAAAAAGUUUCAUGUCAAAUUCUCCCAGCACCAUUUGGGAAAGUCAUUGAAUAAACUAAUAGUAGGCUUCCAAGCCAAGAGUAAUUAUGUUACAUUGCUCUUUUUUGGCAGGGAGCUAUUUUUUUUCCUGUAAAUGAGCCACUUUAGCAUAAGCACACUUUUAUACUGCAAAGUGGAGGAGGAUUUGAUGCAGAUGUCUCUCAGGUGAGAUACAAGAUCAUAGUUUUUCCACUCCUAGAUUAAUGUAAUGAAGUGAUCAAUCAAUCAAUCAAUUAAUCACCUUAGUUUUCCGGUAAUCACUGUAGCAGAUAGUUAUUAGAAAUGGAAACAUACAUUUGUAAAAGCUAACUCUUCUUUUUUAUUGACAUAUAGUUGACAUACAAUAUUAUAUUAGUCUCAGAUAUACCACAUAGUGAUUUGGCAUUUGCAUACCAUGAAAUGAUCACCAAGAUAAGUCUAGUAACCAUCUGUCCCCAUACAAAGUUAUUACAACACGAUGUGACAUUUCAUAUUCAGAAAACACUUUAAAAUCAUUCAUAUUAGUUUUUCCUUUAAGCCAAAUUUUAAGGAGUGUUAUUUCUCUGAUUGUCAUUUUUUAGAGGCGCAAACUGGUUCAGGAAGGUUAAAUAACUUGUCCAAAUAUGGUCAGCAGCUUGAUGGCAAAAGUCGAGCUAG